ensembl:processed_transcript Gm9899 predicted gene 9899
AUGGCUGGACAGAUGCUCAGCUUCAGGUGGAAAACAGGUCCCAGAUGUGAGCAAGGCCUGGUGACUAUAGCUCACACAGGGGCUCAGGGACAAAACCAUCAGGGAACAGCUCUGGACCCACUGAAGGUGGAGAUGAGGAAGGGAGGCAGAGCUAUCUUGGCACAGAGCUCGGGCACCCAGCCCAGGCAGGGACUCAGAAGGUCUCCGUGUCUGUGCAGAGCCAAAGGAUAUUGUUGGGGCUUUGAGCUGGUGCCUGAAGAAGAACGUCUAUCCAGGGGCCCUCAGAGACCUGAAGGGGAUGGGACCAUCCUACCCAUAUGGACCAGGGUUGCCACUGGGAGGGGCCCAAGGUGGGGGUGGGAUAUCCAGGCCAUGAGUGCAUAGAUCUCUGCUCAUCCAGAGAUGAUAUGUGUGGUCCAGUGAACCAUAGAAACCACGGUAUGUCAGGGAGAUGGAGGUCAGCUGGGAGGCAGCGCUCAAGCAGAAGGGCACAGCCAUCAGGGACAUGGAAAAAGUGAUGUCGUUAAGGAACAAUGUGAGCCAAAGGAAUGAGCUGUAA